UGGGGAAUUGUUCACAAUGGGCGCAAGCCUGAUGACGCAACGCCGCGUGGGGGAUGAAGGUCUUCGGAUUGUAAACCCCUGUCGAAUGGGACGAAAGACUCGCGAGUUAAUACUUCGCGGGAGUGACGGUACCGUUAAAGGAAGCCACGGCUAACUCUGUGCCAGCAGCCGCGGUAAUACAGAGGGUGCGAGCGUUGUCCGGAAUCACUGGGCGUAAAGGGCGCGUAGGCGGCCCGGUAAGUAGGGGGUGAAAUCUCAUGGCUCAACUGUGAGGCUGCCUUCUAGACUGCCAGGCUUGAGCACAGUAGAGGCGAGUGGAAUUCCCGGUGUAGCGGUGGAAUGCGUAGAGAUCGGGAAGAACAUCGGUGGCGAAGGCGGCUCGCUGGGCUGUUGCUGACGCUGAGGCGCGAAAGCGUGGGGAGCAAACGGGAUUAGAUACCCUGGUAGUCCCUGAGCGGGCUGGCAAGGCGCAU
rnacentral:rRNA from 1 species